UAAACAUGGAUCAAAUCCUCUAACCUAGUUGAGUUAAGAUGUGUUUGGAUACCUAUAUAUUUUUUUCAAUUCACCAAUCUAUUCCUUCCCCUUUCUAUACUUGAGAAAGGGUGAAUUGACAUUUGAAGUCUCAGACCAGAUGACAAACCAAACACUGUCUUUUUGCCUGAUAAAUUCUUGAUGUGGUUCCUGCAUCAGCAUUGUUUCAUAAGUAGUUAUGGAAUUCAAUUGCCUUCAUGGGUUUGAAUAGUUUAUGAGAAGUUCUUCAUCAAAAAAACUCAACAACAACAUCUUCCUCUUUUGCACUCUCUUUUCCUCUCAGACAUUUCUUCUGCCAUGUGUCUUGCCUCUUGCAGAAACAUGUGUUCUAUCAGCUCUUCUGUCUCCUAUUCCUUCACCUGAAUUUCUCGACUGCAAAAAAAUAUAUAGAUUCAUUCUUACAAGUUGAAUUUAAACUUGCUACAUAUGGAGUGUGAAGUUUCUUAGAUUCAAUAUCUAUUUGUGGCUCUUUUUUUCAUAAAUUUGCAUGAUACGUUUGAAUCACCACUAGCAGCAAAAUUCAUCUUUACUUAUUUAACUUAACCAAGUUUGAAUCGAUAUUUAAUAAAAUUUACUGGUAUUCAAUUAAAAUUUUAAAAGACUAGAAAACUUAAUUGUUAUUCAAAAUCAUGUAUAUUUUAAUAGAUUAUUUGAUUCAUUAGACUUCUAUGGAUUUAAUAGGACUUUUUUAUUUUUAAGUAUAAAUAUUAUUCUUAUAGGACUAUUUUUUUAUAUAAGAAUAAUAACAGUAGUAUUCUCUUUUUCAAUUUUAAAUAUUUUUCUACAUCCAAGUAACUAUUCUUUUGCUAUUGUUCUGAAAUAUAUUUUCAACAGUUAUUGUUUUUCUAUUAUCUAUGAUUGUUGAAUUAAUGAAAAUAAGAUUUUAUUUUAUUCUGAUUUGGUUAUUAUUGAGCUAACUAAUAAAUUGCUACUAUGUUUUAGAUGUAUGAAAAAAAAAAUUGUUUUGAAUUCUUAUUCACAAGUUCAGUUUAUUUUCACUAUAUAUAAUAAAUUAUGAAGUACAUAUCUCUCCAUUAUACAUAUAUUUGGAUAAUAAAGUUGUUCCUUAUUUACAAUAAUAACUUUUCCAUUUUAAAGGAAUUAUCAUAGGAUUUAUAUAGACUGCUAUAAAAUGCACUUUAAUCUAACAGCUUUACAGAAUAAGAGAGAGAGAGAUACACUCUUUAUGAUUUGAUCCAAGUAUACUAUUAACCCUAGUUCAUAAGAUAAAGUUGAUACCACACUCAUAUACACUGUUUCAGCAACAUUACUAAUCAACUUUAAAUCUCCAAGAUUCAAAGUAAAUAAUGAGAAGCCAUUUGAAGAAACAUAACCCAAAAUAAGACAGAAGCCAUUUGAAGAAAAAGAAAAGUUGUGAUAGUGAUGUACUUACGUUCCUUAAGGUUCCGUCUGAGUCUUCAUGAUUUGCAAAAGUAACGACCUGAACUUGCCAUCCCUUUGUUGGGGUCCUUCACUCCUUUCUUCAUCCUCAGCUUUUGCUUCUAAUUCAUAAAGUUGAUCUUUUAUCUGUCAAUUUGAAUUGUGAGUCCCAGAGAAGUGAGAAACAGCAGAAAAGUAACAAAAAGUGCUGAAUAAUGAAGAUUAAGAUUAUAGGAUGAAGUUACUACAAGGAGAAAGAAGGUUUAGGAUAGAGGAAGACGAAGAACAGAGGUUAAUUGGGUUUCAAUCAGUGGUGAAUGAAAUGGUGGUUCAUCAAGACUUG
rnacentral:lncRNA from 1 species